rnacentral:hammerhead_ribozyme from 1 species
AUCCAGCUGACAAGUUCGAAAUAAAACGAAACGCGCGUCCUGGAU